UACGAAGGGACCUAGCGUAGUUCGGAAUUACUGGGCUUAAAGAGCUCGUAGGUGGUUAAAAAAGUUGAUGGUGAAAUCCCAAGGCUCAACCUUGGAACUGCCAUCAAAACUUUUUAGCUAGAGUGUGAUAGAGGUAAGUGGAAUUUCUAGUGUAGAGGUGAAAUUCGUAGAUAUUAGAAAGAACACCAAUUGCGAAGGCAACUUUCUGGAUCAUUACUGACACUGAGGAGCGAAAGCAUGGGUAGCGAAGAGG
rnacentral:rRNA from 1 species